CAGCUUUUUCACCCAGUGAUUUUACUACUCAGCUGAGGUCACAUAGUGCAGUGUCCUUACUCUGGGUGAGGACUGGGACUCUGCAAGUGCUGUGAGACAUGAAGCCGAGAUGUUUCUUCCCCUUGCUCCUGAUAUCUUCCUGUUGUGCUGACAGGGUGAACGAGGAAUUCCAGGGAGAAAAGGGGCCAAAGGACAGAAGGGGGAACCAGGCCCUCCCGGACUGGAUCAGCCUUGUCCUGUGGGACCAGACGGACUGCCAGUAGCAGGAUGUUGGCACAAGGUACGGUAUCAUUAUUAUUUGUAUGUCUUUGAACAGGUCCUGAGUAAUUUUUCUCCCUGCAUGGUGAUUGUUUGCAGUGCUACACAUGCUCUAAGCAGCAGCUCACAGGCCUGGCAGACAUGACAUUAGGCCUUGGGAGAGCAGGAUUCCAGCAGCUUCAGGUCUUGUUCUCCCCAGCUCUAGACUGAUGCUGGGAACACCAAAUAUUUCCUAAGCAUGAAAAAUCAUUCUUAACACUGUCAGUAGAAUGCCUUUUUACAGGCUUGCUUGGGCUUUUAUUAUGGCCAGGGAAGCUUAGGAACCACUCAGGGAAAGGCUGCACCACGUGCUCGUGUGACUUACUGAGUCCACACCCUCCCAGCUAAGUUAACAAUGGGUUGUCUCUUUGUGCAGAGUUCCAAACAUUUCUUUUCUAACAAAGACUCUUCUGCCAUUGCAAUUAUAACUCACAACCAGUGCACUGCUUCAGUGCUCAGAUCAGCACCCUGGGUACAGGUGAUCAGGUAGUUUGUAGCAUCUCGUGCAUCCAGAGCAGCCAGGGGUUGGGAGUGAAUGAGGAGAGAUAUGUCCUCCUGUAAGAUGAGGAUUUGAUGCAGACUUGUAGGAGAACCCUCAUUCUCCAACAAGAGUAUGACACUGAAGCUGAGUGGAAUUACAAACCCAGCUGUAAGACACAGCUGGAGUUAACAGCAUGUCACUAACUGGUUGUAAACCCUCAGUUAGAAUGUGAGCAGACCCUUGGUGUAUCAAAGGCUUUAAUUCUGUGUAAUUUGUUUGAAUGUACUGUUAAUAUUAAAAGAAAUCUGAAUGCCAAUCCUUAUAGUAUUAACAGUAAGAUUGUAAGUGUAAUGAAUGGAGCAUUUUUCUGAUUAAAAUGUUUGUUUGUGUGUUCUUUUUCAGUGAUCUCUAAGCAUGAAGCACAAUAUGUAAAUAAUGUGAUAUAUUUUGAUCUUUUUAAUUUUUGUAUAAAAAAAGGAAAAAAAAACUUUUGACAGUAAUAUAUUGACCUUUUUUUAUACUGGAUUCUGAUACUGAUGGACUUGGAAAAUAAUGUAAAGCUCCCAAAUCCAUACCAUUGCAUGGUAACACCAGGAUUUGCUAAAGGUACCGAUGACAGCUGGGGAUGAACAGUGUUCCCUGCUCAUGCUGCAGUGUGAACUAACAGAACUGAGCCAGCCUCGUGUGCCUUACUGCAUGAAGGAGGGCAAAAUCCCUGUCCUGAUUUGGCUCUUAACUUCAUAUUUGCAUUGUAUAUGCACAUUAAAAGGGUGAAAAAAACUGGCUGAAAACAAAGAAAAGAAGGAUGCAGCCCUAAAAAUGAAAGAAGCUGCUGUCUACUGUCUGGUCACACAGAAGGAUUUGCAACCUGCACAGGAAACAAAGCCAAGCUCCAUCCAUUGCUACCUGCUGUGGGUGUGAUGGAAACAGCAACUCUGGGGCUAAACAGAACAACCUUGACUGCCUGUGGUUAUUUCCUCUACAAUCAAGAGAAUCUUUUCCUCAAGAGGAAGCACCUCUGGGUCCUGUUCUGGGGUGUGUGCCUGAAGAUGUGCAAGCACUUUGUUACUGUGGAACACAAAUUCCCCAGGAAGCCUCUGCUGCAGAAUUUCAAAACAGAAAAUCUUGGCAAUACUUUCAGUGCAGGGAGUUGCAGGACAGGGAAGGCUCUGCUUAAGCCCCUUCUUAAACAACAGAGAACAUAAUGUUGCUCUUGGGGUUCCCAGAAGUUGGGAAUUUGGAGUAUUUAAUUGUCUUGGUUUGUGGGGUUCAUUUGCCUUUUAUUUCUUCUUGGUUUACAUGAUUUUAACUGUAAACUAACUGCACUCUCUUCUUGUCUUAUUUUUCUUUACCUUUUCAGUCUCUUUUGUUAAUCUAUCUCUUCUCAUGCACAUCUCAUGCAGAGCAGGGUAAUGAGUAACAUCUUUAUUAUUUUGAUAUCUGCAUAUACCACUGUGGGAUCAAUUAAAAUUGCAAACUAUUCCACGGUUCAACAUUUCUUAAGAUGUUGAAAAAACAGCAAUUGUGCAGCAGAGAGCCAUAAAAAAUAUUUCAAAGAGGAAGAAGAUGGCUUACGGCCGAGUCUGUUCAGCUCACAAUGAAGAUCAAGAAGCAACCAGAUUCCUUUACAGGGAGGAGAUACUUUGUAUUAACAAGUUUUUAAACUGAACAGAGAAGGAUACAAAUACUCGUCCAAUGGGUAGAAGUUGAAGCCACACAAACUUUAAAAAGUCAGCUGUGGAUUUUUAUUUGUGAAACUGGUUAAUCCUAAUCAGAUCAGUGAUGUAAUUGCCAUCACCUUUAUGCCCUUUUGAUUUAAUAGAUUAUGUCUGGAGGGAAUACUUUGUUCAAACCAAGUUGCUGGGCUCUGCAUACGAGUUUUAAGUGAAAUUAGGAGCCUGACCAUAAUAUCAAGCAUAUUUAUCAAUUAUCAAGCAAUAUUAUGGCUCUUUGUGGCCUUCAUCUUAGAGAAUACAGAAGGGAGGCAGUUUUGGUGCACUAAGUAGAUCCAAACUUCUGUUAAGAUUCUUGCUUCAUCACCACUCUUACUGCAGCUGCUGCCGGAGAGGGCUUGAGAGAGGGAUGUGACCGUCCAACCUGUCCUGUACAAGCUGACCUAGUGCAGGAGGUCUUGCUCCAAUAUCCUGAAGAACAGUGGGAAUGUGCUUUGUGCUCCACAUAGGUAGGGUGAUGUCUGGUGUAUGUGAGUUCUCAUCUGUGACCAGGGUCUGGGUGUCCUUGAGCUAAUCCCCAGAGUCAGGGGGAGCCUGUGCUCUGCACUGGUCAAUGCUGAAAUGUUAACCAAGCUCAGGAGAGGUGA